rnacentral:rRNA from 1 species
GGGUGAGUAUAAUGUGGGAAUCUGCCUUUUGGUCUGGAAUAACACGAGGAAACUUGUGCUAAUACCGGAUAAGCCUUUACAGGGAAAGUUUUAAUGCCAAAAGAUGAGCCCGCACUUGAUUAGCUAGUUGGUAAGGUAAUAGCUUACCAAGGCAACGAUCAAUAGCUGUUCUUAGAGGAAGACCAGCCACAUUGGGACUGAGACACGGCCCAAACUCCUACGGGAGGCAGCAGUGGGGAAUCUUGCACAAUGGGGGCAACCCUGAUGCAGCGAUGCCGCGUGAGUGAAGAAGGCCUUUGGGUUGUAAAACUCUUUCGUCGGGGAAGAAAAUGACUGUACCCGAAUAAGAAGGUCCGGCUAACUUCGUGCCAGCAGCCGCGGUAAUACGAAGGGACCUAGCGUAGUUCGGAAUUACUGGGCUUAAAGAGUUCGUAGGUGGUUAAAAAAGUUGAUGGUGAAAUCCCAAGGCUCAACCUUGGAACUGCCAUCAAAACUUUUUAGCUAGAGUAUGAUA